GGAUGAGCCCGCGGCCUAUCAGCUAGUCGGUGGGGUAACGGCCUACCGAGGCGAUGACGGGUAGCUGGUCUGAGAGGACGACCAGCCACACGGGGACUGAGACACGGCCCCGACUCCUACGGGAGGCAGCAGUGAGGAAUCUUCCGCAAUGGGCGAAAGCCUGACGGAGCGACACCGCGUGUGGGAUGAAGUCUUUCGGGAUGUAAACCACUGUUGGAGGGGAAGACAUCGACGGUACCCUCCGAGAAAGCCCCGGCUAACUACGUGCCAGCAGCCGCGGCCG
rnacentral:rRNA from 1 species